rnacentral:snRNA from 1 species
UCACUUUGGCAGUGUUUAUGCUAAAAUUGGAAUGAUUCAAAGAAAAUAGCAUGAACCUUGCACAAGAAUGACACACAAAUUAAUGAGAUGAGAGGGAGAAAA